rnacentral:rRNA from 1 species
GACGAACGCUGGCGGCGUGCUUAACACAUGCAAGUCGAACGGAAAGGCCCUGCUUUUGUGGGGUGCUCGAGUGGCGAACGGGUGAGUAACACGUGAGUAACCUGCCCUUGACUUUGGGAUAACUUCAGGAAACUGGGGCUAAUACCGGAUAGGAGCUCCUGCUGCAUGGUGGGGGUUGGAAAGUUUCGGCGGUUGGGGAUGGACUCGCGGCUUAUCAGCUUGUUGGUGGGGUAGUGGCUUACCAAGGCUUUGACGGGUAGCCGGCCUGAGAGGGUGACCGGCCACAUUGGGACUGAGAUACGGCCCAGACGCCUACGGGAGGCAGCAGUGGGGAAUAUUGCACAAUGGGCGGAAGCCUGAGGCAGCAACGCCGCGUGCGGGAUGACGGCUUUCGGGUUGUAAACCGCUUUCGCCUGUGACGAAGCGUGAGUGACGGUAAUGGGUAAAGAAGCACCGGCUAACUACGUG